rnacentral:lncRNA from 1 species
AGAUCUUGGUAUCUCAUUCUCAUCCAAGUUACACAUAAACACCAUAUGCUCUUCUAGAUAUUCUGCAAAGGAACACUCGGCUUGAGAAGGAUGCUCCACAGCCUGGGCAUUGUAGUACACUCUCGUGUUUACCCAGUUGGAAGCAUCCCUCUUUAUCCUUGUGCUCCUCUGCAAGCCUGAAAUUGUUCUUCUUCUUGUGCUUCUUGCCCAUCUUCACUAGACUGAGCCCUACUCUCCUCUGAACCAGUAGACUGAGCCACACUCUCCUCUGAACCAGUAGACUGAGCAACACUCUCCUCUGAACCAGUAGACUCUCCUUGCACAUCUCCACUAGACUGAGCAUCAUUCUCUACUUCAUGUGUUACCUCUUGAUUAUGAUGACCUGAAUCUUCUUGGUUUUGCUCUUGCUCACC